GAGGGUAUAGCUCAGUGGUAGAGUGCAUGGCUAUCAUGCACAAGGUCCUGGGUUCAAUUCCCAGUAGCUGUG
rnacentral:tRNA from 1 species